GACGAACGCUGGCGGCGUGCUUAACACAUGCAAGUCGAACGGAAAGGCCCUGCUUUUGUGGGGUGCUCGAGUGGCGAACGGGUGAGUAACACGUGAGUAACCUGCCCUUGACUUUGGGAUAACUUCAGGAAACUGGGGCUAAUACCGGAUAGGAGCUCCUGCUGCAUGGUGGGGGUUGGAAAGUUUCGGCGGUUGGGGAUGGACUCGCGGCUUAUCAGCUUGUUGGUGGGGUAGUGGCUUACCAAGGCUUUGACGGGUAGCCGGCCUGAGAGGGUGACCGGCCACAUUGGGACUGAGAUACGGCCCAGACUCCUACGGGAGGCAGCAGUGGGGAAUAUUGCACAAUGGGCGGAAGCCUGAUGAAGAAACGCCGCGUGCGGGAUGACGGCCUUCGGGUUGUAAACAGCUUUAGCCUGUGACGAAGCGUGAGUGACGGUAAUGGGUAAAGAAGCACCGGCUAACUACGUG
rnacentral:rRNA from 1 species